GCCAGGCGUGGUGGCGAGCGCCUGUAAUUCCAGCUACUUGGGAGGCUGGGGCAGGAGAAUCGCUUGAACCCAGGAGGCAGGGGUUGCAGUGAGCCAAGAUAGCGCCAUUGCACUCCAGCCUGGGUGACAGAGCGAGACUCUGUCUCAA
ensembl:misc_RNA Metazoa_SRP Metazoan signal recognition particle RNA